GAACGAGAAGGAAGGAAGGAAGAGAGCGUAGCACGGUGGUCGUCGAGUGGGCGAUUUCGUCUGGACCCGGUGGUUUGCAGCGUAUGUCGCCUAAUCGACAACGACGACAAGGGUGCCCCGGUGGUGAAUGGCUCAGACGAGGACCUCGUUAACUAUGGCCUUGGCGCCGUUCGAGAUGCCCGCUUUGAUAUCGCGGCUCUGAAAACUGAACAACCGGGCUCGUGGCGCGCUCUCUCACCUUCGUCCUUCUCCUUUUUUCCUCUCCCUCUCCCUUUUACUCAGGGAGAAAUCGAUCGAUCGAUCACAGGAUCUUUCUUUCUGGUGGAGUCGAAGAAAGGUGUAUAUUCUGAAUUAUCGUUGAGAAUAAUGCAUAUAUAUUUCAAAAGUAGCGUUUAAAAUUAAAAUCUGAAAA